CAAACGAGUAACCAAGUCCCUAUUCACGAAACCAGCUGGUCCCACACCGACUAAACGCUACAUAUUUUUGCAAUUCAAAUAGCGAAAGCAGAAGAGCUUUGUUCGUCCCUUCGGGGACAUCCGAUAAAAUUGGAACGAUACAGAGAAGAUUAGCAUGGCCCCUGCGCAAGGAUGACACGCACAAAUCGAGAAAUGGUCCAAAUUUUUUUUGUCAACUCGCCAUUUUUUAUCUCCAUAGCUUCUUUCAGCGACCUAAGUUUUUGUUGCAACCUUCAAUCUGAGAUCUCACACCAUUGGCAAAAGAAAACGUGGUAAGAAAAGUAAACCUUGUUUACCGGGUGAUACCGAGCAAUCCUGGUGGUGCAGCAAAGUUUGACUCCCUUUGCUCGAACCUGCAUAAAUGACAUAUCCACCAAUUUUUCUUGGAGGUUUUCCAGCUGCUGACUCCUGAAGAAAAGAAGACGUUGCCCUGAAAGAUAUACUGUCAAAGAAACACAGCUCCCUCGGAUUCAAGUGACCGAUCCAGUUGCUAGAUAUUAUGGGCUAAAACGUCUCCAAGUCGCGAAAAUUAUUAGACCGAGUGAAACAGCUGGGCAUUAUGUUACCUGCAGAUAUCAACAACAACAAUUACAUACCAAGUGAAAUCCUACAAGUGAGGUCCCCUUCUGGGGAGGGUAAUGUAUAUGCAGACCUUAUACCUACCUUGUGAAUUACUUUAUACCUACCUUGUGAAUUACCUGCAGAUAUGUUGUCUAAAAAAUGUUAGCACCUCAAAUGGAAGAAAGUAGAUAAGGAGAUCCAUUUGCAGAUCUAGAGUACGUCUUUAGUUGUCAAGUUUUGAUCGUCUGUUGGGAUGGAUUCUCCGACGCUUACUACUACGAGCUCCAGAAGGUAUCAGUUUGCAUAAUGUUCUCUUCUAGAAAUUUCUGGAACAUUCUCCUGAUCUUGCAAAAGUUCUCUUGGUUCAGUAAAUGUUCAACAACGUGCCGAUGUAUAAAUUUUAGUGAAGUACGGAACCUUGAAAAGAGUCGGCCAAGGCCUAAAUUGGCCGAAAAGCUGUUACAAUUUGAUGCCUACUGGAUGUUGAACCCUGCACAAUUCUUUUUUCUUUUUCUUUUUUGGUUUAAUCACUGGUUUCACUAAUCCGGAUUUGUGUCGUGGCCAGUUAAAAAUCAAGAAUUACUCUAUUUUUAGGCCCAUUAAUUGUUUUUAUUCUCUGAAAUUCUGACCAUAUUUACCGGAUAAGUAAUACUCGUUUCUGUGUUGUUUUU